rnacentral:lncRNA from 1 species
UCCUGUAGCAUCCACAGUAUCAGCGUUUUCUGCCCUCUCCUCUGGGCCUGGCCUUCCUCCACCCCCUCCUCCUCCGCCUCCUCCAGGGCCACCUCCACUUUUCGAGAAUGAAGGCAAAAAAGAGGAAUCUUCUCCUUCACGCUCAGCUUUAUUUGCCCAACUUAACCAGGGAGAAGCAAUUACAAAAGGUGAGAGAGAAAACAAGGCCUUGAAGCUGCCUCCCUUUCCCUCUGGCUCCCAGACACAAAGAGCCACUGGAGCCCCAGUGAUGGAUACAUCACUCCAUCCCUGCCUCCAGCAUGCAGGGAGAGGGGGAGCUGGUGCUGGGAAGACAGGAGCCUGCCAUGUUCCUUAUGUCCAUGCAGACGGGCUCAGGGGGUCACUGUGUAGACCAGAAAGAAGUAUUCAGAGACUCUGGGUUCUAAAGUCUCAAACUCCUGACCUCAAGUGGUCCACCUGCCUCGGCCUCCCAAAGUGCUGGGAUUACAGUCAUGAGCCACAGCGCCCAGCCCCAGUUUAGUAUUUCUGAUCACUACAUUUAUCCAUUUAAUAACACUGCUUUCUCUCCAAACUAUUACGCAUGCAAAUUUUAAGGAGGUUGCUCAUCUUCAGAAUUAGUGAUGUCUUCUCACACUCAUCCAUUUUGCAUUCAGACUGUCCUUACUUUGCGUGGUGCUAGGUUAACUGAAUCUUAUGCCUAUAGGAACUACAAUUUGAGGAUUGCCUAUAUACUAAAGUCUGAUGCUAUAGGAUUGCUAAGGAAGUGAAACAAUGAGAACCCUGAUAUAUCAGUGUCGGGGGAGUAAAUCUGUGACAUUCACUGCAAUGCAAAUUGGCAGCGUCUAAGAAAGUCACAUUCAUAGUCUGUGACUGAGUGAUUUCACUCUUAGUGUAUACACUAAAGAAGCCCCAGCACGUGUGCCAAGGAGACAAAUGUAAAAAUGUUUAUUGCAAUAUCAUUCAUAAUGGCAAUAAAAACAAUUUAAAUGUCCACCAGUUGGUAAGUUAAUAAAUAAAUCCUCCCAAUAGGAUACUAGUUGGUAGUUUAACUAGUAUAGCAGC